rnacentral:lncRNA from 1 species
CUGGUAAUCACAACUUUACAAACAUAACAAAAGGAAAUGCUUUUAAAUCAUGUAUCAGUGAAAAUCUAGCUAAUGUAAAGAAGGUCUCAAAUAUAUGAUCCAUCUAUUUAAAGGAAGCUGGUAAAGAUGGUUUUAAGGCUCAUCUGCAGAUGCCCAAGUAACAGGUUACAAAACCCUUGUACUGCUUUUAUUCCCAUGGCAUAAUAGAAAGCACUUUGAAAAACGAUUAAACAAUCCUGUGAAGUAUAGAUUAAUCAUUUUUCCUUAAUUUAGAGUGUGGUUCAAAUUUAAUUGUAGAAUUGAAGCUUGAAAGUUUAAUAUCUAAAUUAUUUGGUUGAAAAAUACAAGUAUGGGUAUCCAAUCUCCUUGCACCAAAUUAUGAAAUUGACUUUACGUUCAUAAAUACCUAAAGUUGCAACCCAAAACGCUCUACUGGGUAACUUUAUGAGAUUGAACAUGAAUGUAGACUCAAGUAGAGUACAUCGAAAAGAAGAGUAAUUUUCUCCUUCAAACCAUGGGUAUUGGUUACAGUUUAACAGAAAAUGCACCUCAAAACCCAAACCUGAUGCAAUGGAGGGAGAGCGUUGUUAUAAAUGGAUAGCAUAUGUUUCUCUUGUAAAUCUGCAGAAGCUUCACUUUGUGAAUGUGCAAUUGACAGACUAGGUUUGACAGACCAGCUGAAUCUAGUCUACUAAGGCCAAGAAUGUAAAGGUUAUAUGGGAUACAAUGUUGCUAUGUUGGUAGACAGAAAGAAACAGUUGUUAUCUAUAUUUCAGUUAGCACCUGCGUGCAAUAGUUGGAAAGUUAAAGGAACAGGCAAUACCCCAUCAGCUAGGAAUGAAGAUAACAUGAGAGUGCAGAGAGCUUAGCGCACGUGGUGCAUUUAUAGCACCCCAUAGAUGCUACAAAUAAUCUCUGGUUCUAGGUGGAGAGACCUUCAUGCAGCAUUCGGUAUUAAGAUCUCAAUAAACAAGAAACAUUGAAGAGAAAUAUUUGGAAAAUAUGUAUCACAUCCAUUAUUUCGUGUGAAAUUAAACUUAAAAUGACAAAUACAGAUAAGCAGUCUGGGUUUAAAGGGAUCAUGAGUGUAGGGAUGAUCUUUAUGUAAAGCAUUAGGAAAUGGUUUAUGUAAAUUGGGAAACCAUAGGACACUGAAUAAUAUGGAGUUUCAAGGAGAGGUUACUGAUUGUUGAUCUCUCUCGCCCUUCAAAGGUGCUGAUUUUCUUCAUAGAGUACAAGGGUUUAAGGACCGUCUAGAGCAUAGAAGGAUCUAUCUUAGGGUUAAUUAACAUAUGCAGAAAUGCUGAGUAUCAACCUUUUUGUUUGAGAAGUUGUGAAACUAAACUGCAAGGGUGGUUUUCUGUUUCUCACUCUCUAUCUUAAGCAGUGUGCUUCUAGUCUUCAGACUCUUUUAAGGUGAAGUGGGGGACCGGAGGGCCGCUCUUACUGUGUUGGUUUCC